ensembl:lncRNA
UUUUUUUACAAGAGAAUUCAAUCGUCCCCACCAUGACUGUGAUAGUCUGCGUUCAAAGGUAAGCUCUGUCCUCGAUCAUCGAUUGGUUAUGCCUUAAACUGAUGAGUAAGGAAAAUAACGACGCGGGGUGACGCCCGUGUCCUCGCCCAAAUUUGCGAGAGCAAUUUUUGAACGGGUACAGGUCUGCCUGCAAAGGUGACUCACCUACUUUGUGAGAUGCCUAACGGGAUAAGGAUCUGCCCGACCCUUUAUUGUCAAAAAUAAAUAAAACGCAGUAUGUAACUACUCAUAGAGAGGAUAAAUGGAAUGAUCGUGGGGUCCAUUUUCCACGGUAAUGGAUAAAAUGGAGCGGUUCAUCAACAAUAAAGUGUGAGGUGUAUGGUCUGACCCCCCCACCCCUUCAACCUCUGCAGCAAUGCUGGCAGCACUCAUACGUCCAUUUCCCAAAGACAACCUCUGGAUAUGACGCUGAGCACGUGCACUCAACUUCCUUGGUCGACCAUGGCGAGGCCUGUUCUGAGUGGAACCUAUCCUGUUGAACUGCUGUAUGGUCUUGUGUUGAGUUAUAUUGAGGGGACAGCAAAUUUACACUGCUAUACAAGCUGUACACUCACUACUUUACAUUGUAGCAACGUGUCAUUUCUUCAGUGUCACAUGAAAAGAUAUAAUCCAGUAUUUGCAAAAAUGGGAGGGGUGUACUCACUUUUGUGAGAUACUGUAUGUCUUUUUUCCAAUUGUGUAAAACCUUUAGGUAAAAGGUAUUGCAAUGUGGUUUAAUAGUAAUACCUUUCUAUUUUCUACAUAUUAGUGUGUUUGUAACAUAGACUGUAUAUAUAGGUUUGUAACAAAGUAAUUAUUUCUAUUUAUUUUGUAUUUUUAUUUAACUUUUUUUAAGUGUGCCCUGGGAACAUUAAUCCAAGAAUAAAACAAUAAAAUAUAAAAUACAUCCAAGAAUAAAACAAUAAAACAAUAAAAUAUAAAAUACAUCCAAGAAUAAAACAAUAAAACAAUAAAAUAUAAAAUACAUCCAAGAAUAAAACAAUAAAACAAUAAAAUAUAAAAUACAUCCAAGAAUAAACCAAUAAAACAAUUAGAUAUAAAAUACAUACAAUUUACAUACAGACUGACAUUAGCCAUCUCAAUCAAUUAAAACAAACAUAUUUCUCACAAUAAAAAUCUAACUUAAAAAAUGAAAUUGUAACAUGGACAUGAAGGCAUCCAAACAAAACGAAUCUAUUCCACACUUGAGGUGCUUUAUAUGAAAAGGCAGUACUACCCAACUCAGGAGUUUCAAAAGAUGUCUGUAACACUAACCAACACUGUGAUCAUUUAUUGUAGCCAGAGGAUCUAGGUGUCAACAGAAAUGUUAAGUAUACCAGAAGUAAGGACAGAAAUAAUAAAAUGAGGACAAAAAUAAUAAAUUGCUGCCCUGUGUCAUCUUCUGUUUUACUGAUCGUAAAUUGUUUCUGGAAUUUCCACCAAAAUGUUACAUUGUUAGUGUUAAAAAAUAGUAAACUCAGUUGUUUUAUUUUCUUGUGCAACAAGAUGGCAAUAUUGUAUAUAAACACACUGUACAAAGUUGUAGGAAAACUGUAAAGCGUGAAUGUAACUCAAGCUCAGGUUAGACAGUAAGUUAGUGUGUGUCUGUGUGUGUGGGGCAUGUAAGAGCAUGAUAUAGCAGAUUCAUUUUUUAACAGAUCAUUGUUUGUUGUAUCACUUCCUUCCUGGCUCUGUGUGAAAAUGAUACCUUUUAUCUGUGUUCUAUAUCUCUCUUUUCUCUGUUUAUACUUCUGACAACCCACUAUGGCAACCAAACAGGUCACCGUGCCUACUAUAUAUCUUCCCAUGCAUUAUUUCAAUCUCAAAAUGUUAUUUUGUAGCCUCCUUUCUAAUCCAUAAUUAAAGGCUAACCUUUAAGAAACACCAAAAUAUAAACUCUAUAUCUGACCAAAGCAUCAUUAUACUACAUGGUAGAGUUAUUUUGAAAUUCUCAAGUUAGGGAACCCUUAAAUAGAUUUUAUGCACAGUAGAUAUGAACCAUGAUGCUAAUGUGCAAUUACAGACAUUCACACAUAUGCAUAUAUUAGUACAGAUCAUUGUGAUGGUUAUAGUCAUUUAAGGUUGAUACAGUAUACUGUGUGUGUGUGUGUGGCUGGCCUUCGAUGAUACAGGGCGACAACUGGGUAGUGGCCUGCGGAUUGUUUGGGAGAACAAGCUUCAGACAAAUACCAAAUUUGUCAGUCUCAUAUCAGUGAUGCUCAGGGUUACAAAUGAUUGUCUUGUCCUUGGUGUACUAAAGGCUGGACUAGGAAUAUAUUGUGUUGAAUGAUUAGAUUUCUAUUGAUUUUCUGUGUUUUUAUGUACUUGUGAAUUGAUUCAGACUCAGUCGGAUUAACAUUUAUAGUAUCUAAACAUUAAUAAAAUAAAAUAUAGUGGAUAUCAACGGUCUACUCACCCUAAUUGAAAGUUCAACUUUGGUAGGUGCAAAGGCUGAAAUCAAGAAGAAAACAAUGUCUUUUUUUAAAUAAGAUACUGUAACCAACAAUAUUUACAUGAAAGAAACAAAUGGACAAUUUCUUGGAAAAAUAAUAAAAAUAUAAAACUG